AGUGAACGCUGGCGGUAGGCCUAACACAUGCAAGUCGAACGGCAGCACAGUAAGAGCUUGCUCUUACGGGUGGCGAGUGGCGGACGGGUGAGGAAUACAUCGGAAUCUACUUUUUCGUGGGGGAUAACGUAGGGAAACUUACGCUAAUACCGCAUACGACCUACGGGUGAAAGCAGGGGAUCUUCGGACCUUGCGCGAUUGAAUGAGCCGAUGGCGGAUUAGCUAGUUGGCGGGGUAAAGGCCCACCAAGGCGACGAUCCGUAGCUGGUCUGAGAGGAUGAUCAGCCACACUGGAACUGAGACACGGUCCAGACUCCUACGGGAGGCAGCAGUGGGGAAUAUUGGACAAUGGGCGCAAGCCUGAUCCAGCCAUACCGCGUGGGUGACGAAGGCCUUCGGGUUGUAAAGCCCUUUUGUUGGGAAAGAAAAGCAGCAGGUUAAUACCCCGCUGUUCUGACGGUACCCAAAGAAUAAGCACCGGCUAACUUCGUG
rnacentral:rRNA from 1 species